AUUGAACGCUGGCGGCAGGCUUAACACAUGCAAGUCGAGCGGGGACUUCGGUCCUAGCGGCGAACGGGUGAGGAAUGCUUGGGAAUCUGCCCAGUAGCGGGGGAUAACGUUUCGAAAGGAACGCUAAUACCGCAUACGCCCUACGGGGGAAAGGGGGGGAUCUUCGGACCUCUCACUAUUCGAUGAGCCCAAGUCGGAUUAGCUAGUUGGUGGGGUAAAGGCCUACCAAGGCGACGAUCCGUAGCUGGUCUGAGAGGAUGAUCAGCCACACUGGAACUGAGACACGGUCCAGACUCCUACGGGAGGCAGCAGUGGGGAAUAUUGGACAAUGGGCGAAAGCCUGAUCCAGCCAUGCCGCGUGUGUGAAGAAGGCCUUCGGGUUGUAAAGCACUUUAAGCGAGGAGGAAUGGCUGAGGGUUAAUAACCUUCAGCAGUGACGUUACUCGCAGAAUAAGCACUUGCUAACUCUGUGCCAGCCGCCGCGGUAA
rnacentral:rRNA from 1 species